AAGCUCUGAAAUAUCCAACAAUGAUUAGUGUAUGUAUGUGUGUCUAUCUAUGCGUGUAUUUCAUAAUCAAUUUUAGAAGUGCAUAAUUUUCAGAUUUGAGUUCCAUAUUUUCUUGGUUUUGGUAAAACAACAAAUUACAAUUUCAGAUUAUUGUUGUGACAUUGAAAAGUUUGGGUGGCAGGUCUUUCUUUGGCCUUGCUAAACAUAAUAUAAAAUCCAAGGGAUAAACAAUUUUAUCUAUGGAUAAAAGUUGGAUUAAAAUCCGAAAUCGAUUGCAGCCCGAAUACGUAAAUGGUGCCAAAUCAUUUCUUAAGUUUGCAUACGCAAAUCUGGGAUCGGGGGAUAAAAUUAAGUGUCCGUGUAUCAAUUGUCAAAAUUUAAUGAAUAGGAAAAAAAGAAUAGUUUACGAACAUUUGAUAAUGUAUGGAUUUCUUGAUACCUACACUAAUUGGGUAUAUCAUGGGGAGACUCCUGUUUGCAUUUAUGAAUAAGUGGAUUUAGGCUCUAAGCGUUGUUAGAUUAUUGUAGUAAAUAGCUAUUACAUUUUGUGGUCAAUAUAUUAAGCUGUUCAAGAUAUCUCAAAAUACGACUUGUAUAACUAUUUUCUUGAUUCUACAGUAUAUUGUGGAUUAUUAGAUUAGUGGUACAAAUCAUGACACUUUGAUUUUCGUUUUCUUAACAACAGGUUUAUUCGACUCUCAUUUGCAAGUUUUGUGCAAGUUUGCCGGCUAAGAAAUUCAGGUAUUAAGUUGUCCCUAUGUCUUAAGUUCGAGUAAUAAACAUUAGCAUAAUCGAAAGUAUAUCAAUUAAACUAUUUGAGAUUGAUUGUGAAAUCACUACAUAAUAUAUGUGUCAAUGUUUUAUUCUCGCAGAUUAUGAAUCACAAGAAACGCAUACGAAACGCUGUUUCUCAAGGGAAUAUAGAAUUCCCACCCUCUCAUUCUCAGCAACAUUUUCAUCAAGGGAAUGCAAAAUUCCCACCCUCUCAUUCUGAUUCGCAUUUCCAUCAUGUAUAUUCACAUGGUCAACCAUCAUCAUCUAAUUCUUAUGUUCCAUCGAAUGGUGGUGGAUUUAUGGAAUCGGAGAACAAUGCAGAUGAUGCUUCAUAUGAUGGUAAAUUUAUCAUCUUUUCAGUUACACUAUCAACUUUCUACUAAACUCAAUAUUUUUUUACUUUGAAUCCAGGGACGAGUCAGAGAACAACAAAAAAGGGCGAGGUCGUACAAAAAUGCUCAAAUCAUGGGGCAAUGAAAAAUUUGAAGUUCAAGUUAAUGAAUUUAAUCAAGCUAUUGGUAAAAAUGCAGCAAAACUUUCAAGUCAGAUGGGUCGUGUG
rnacentral:lncRNA from 1 species